rnacentral:snRNA from 1 species
GGAUACAAGGAUGAUCUGGCUGUGACAUCUCUCACCCCACUGAUCACCAGGGGUGAUCUGUACCAGCUGGCUGGCUAGGCGGAUGUUCACUCUCUCCCCCCUCACCACUCCUUAUGCGCCCCUUGAAAGCCUGUGCGCUCUGUGUGCUACCUCACUGAAUGGAGAAGGACUGGUCCUCUGUCGAGAGUAUAUGAGUAGCUGCUUCUCCUGCUAAGAACAGUGGUUCUUAACCUUCUAAUGCUUUGACCCUUUAAGACUGUCCCUCAUGUUGUGACCCCCCCCACAACUGUA